rnacentral:rRNA from 1 species
AUUGAACGCUGGCGGCAGGCCUAACACAUGCAAGUCGAACGAGUGGCGGACGGGUGAGUAAUGUCUGGGAAACUGCCUGAUGGAGGGGGAUAACUACUGGAAAAGGUAGCUAAUACCGCAUAACAUCGGAUGUGACCAGAUGGGAUUAGCUAGUAGGUGGGGUAAAGGCUCACCUGGGCGAAGAUCCCUAGCUGGUCUGAGAGGAUGACCCUCCACACGGGAACUGAGACACGGUCCAGACUCCUACGGGAGUCAGCAGUGGGGAAUAUUGCACAAUGGGCGCAAGCCUGAUGCAGCCAUGCCGCGUGUAUGCAGAAGGCCUUCGGGUUUUAAAGUACUUUCAGCGGGUAGGCGUUACCCGCAGAAGAAGCACCGGCUAACUCCGUGCCAGCAGCCGCGGUAAUAC